UCGAAACGGUGAUAAUUGUCUUAACCAAUUUUUUACAUAACUUUAUAUAUAUGUGGGACAGUAUUUUUAUUUGUUUGUACUAUGUGAAGAUACAUUGUUUCUCCGGUUUCUCGUUCGCGUGAGUCAAUCUGUAGUCGUAACCUUUCCUAUCAUAGAAACGAGCAGUGAAACGACUGCGUAAUUCGUGUCGCAUCGCAUCGCAGUGACGAUGCAAAGAGGGGUUCUCAUUUCCGUCGGUAGAUAGAUGGUCGAGGUAAACGGCAGAAGGGAUGAAACGAUCUCAAAUCUCGUUUCAGCGUGUGUACAUGCUACAUGGCCUGAAAAUGUUUUUUUCCCCGUAACUGGAUGAUGCGAAAAAAUGAAAAUUACGAUCCUCUUUGUUGUCUCGCAUUUACGGAAUAAACGAUGGACUCGAGCACGAGUCACCGAGGAGGCAAAGGAGGCCAUUAAUCAUUCGGAAUCGCUCGUUCGCUGUUGCAUUCGAGUGCACAAGAGAGCCAAAAAACGUCAUCACAAGGGCAUAAGGUUGCUGAAUUAUUGAUACAAUGUACUCGGACGGUUUUCCGUGAUGCUGAUUCGCCAAUGGAACUCUUCGGAAGAAGCUUCGCUCGUUUGUUUCGAGUCGAAAGUGUUCGAUGGCUCGAGGGAUCAGGCGAGUUUGAAGCUCGAUACGUUCUCAAAAGAAGUGGGAAACCGUGGGGCACCGUCAGUCAGGAAAAUAAAACAAAUUAUUAAGGGGCCACACGUGAUAAACGGAGGAAGGAAGAAGAGCGCGGAGUUGGAAAAUAAGGCGGAGGAGGAUAAUUGACUAUCCCGGCUUUAUACGCACGCUCCACAGCCAUCAAAUACAGUGGAUUUAAUAGCAUAUCGCAGUCAAACAGGAUUAUCCCGCGAAUCGAGCAAGUGUAAACGGUGCAGUAAAUCCCGGCAAGGUGGCACACAUGCGCGCGCGGCCGCGUGUACGCGGAGCGAUCGGAACAAAACGAGUCUGCGGAGCUCGAAGGGUCAGGCUAACUUUGUGGCGGUAUACGUGUGCCUCGGAUGAUAAUCCCACAGGAAUCGGGCCAGGAUCCUCCGGGGAUGGUUGAAGGGUAAAGGAACUCAUCAAAUCCCGAUGACAAAACGAUCCUACGCUUCGUGUCCCCACAUACGGUGCGGUGUACACGAGGCAACUGCUGGUGGUGUCCGGGAGGAGGCUUAACAGGUUUAGCAUGCUUCGGUAGAAAAGGGGGUGGGCAACGAAAGCUCGUCCCGUCAGGGGAAUCUCAUCCAAGCUGCAGCACACGCCAUUCCGAGGACGAGCAGAAGCACACCCGGGCUUUAUGUAUUUUCCACCGUUCCAUGUACAUACCCCGAUCUAUUAUGUAUCUCAGUAUUUUUCUUAUCCUAGCGUCGUGCCUUGGAUUGCGAGAAAGAAAAGCAGGACCUCUCAGCUUUUGUAUUCGACGUCUGAGAGGCUCU